rnacentral:rRNA from 1 species
CGCUCGACAUCAGAGUUUGAUCCUGGCUCAGGAUGAACGCUAGCUACAGGCUUAAUACAUGCAAGUCGAACGAAGAAAACCGAAGCUUGCUUCGGAAUUCUGAGUGGCGAACGGGUGAGUAAGACGUAAGCAACCUGCCCCGGAGAGAGGGAUAACAGUUGAAAUGACUGCUAAUACCUCAUAGGCAGUAAAGAGGCAUCUCUUUACUGUUAAAGACGCGUAUGCGUCGCCCCGGGAUGGGCUUACGGUGCAUUAGUUAGUUGGUGAGGUAACGGCUCACCAAGACCGUGAUGCAUAGCCGGCCUGAGAGGGUGAACGGCCACAUUGGGACUGAGACACGGCCCAG